rnacentral:ncRNA from 2 species
AGGAGCCGUAUGCGUUAGUAGCGCACGUACGGAUCUGUGCAGGGGGUGCCGGGUGACCGGCAUUCCUACUGCGAC